AUUGAACGCUGGCGGAAUGCUUUACACAUGCAAGUCGAACGGUAGAGGGGGCAACCCCUCGAGAGUGGCGAACGGGUGAGUAAUAUAUCGGAACGUGCCCAGUCGUGGGGGAUAACGUAGCGAAAGUUACGCUAAUACCGCAUACGAUCUAAGGAUGAAAGCGGGGGAUCGCAAGACCUCGCGCGAUUGGAGCGGCCGAUAUCAGAUUAGGUAGUUGGUGGGGUAAAGGCUCACCAAGCCAACGAUCUGUAGCUGGUCUGAGAGGUCGACCAGCCACACUGGAACUGUGACACGGUCCAGACUCCUACGGGAGGCAGCAGUGGGGAAUUUUGGACAAUGGACGCAAGUCUGAUUUAGCCAUUCCGCGUGCAGGAUGAAGGCCCUCGGGUUGUAAACUGCUUUUGUACGGAACGAAAAGGUCUCUCUUAAUACGGGGGACUCAUGACGGUACCGUAAGAAUAAGCACCGGCUAACUACGUGCCAGCCGCCGCAGUAA
rnacentral:rRNA from 1 species